GUGGCACUGCCCCUCAACUCGUGUGUCACCGUUCUUCACCCCUGUGCUGCUGCCCCUCAUUUCUGUGGCACUGCUCCUCCCUCCUGUGGCACUGCUUCUCACUCCUGUGGCACUGCCCCUCGCCCGUGUGUCACUGCCCCUCACUCCCGUGGAACUGCCCCUCGCGUGUGUGUUACUGCCACUAAUAUGGCACUGCCCAUGUGGCACUGCCUCUCACUCGUGUGUCAUUGCCUCUUGCUUGUGUGGCACUGUCCCUCACUUGUGUGGCACUGUCCCUCAUGUGUCACUGCCCCUCACUUGUGUGGCAGAGCUGCUGUCACAUAACCCAUGGAGUGGGGAUCAUCCCUUCCCCUGACAGAACAACCACGGCUGCCUCUGUUCGAGCCCCUUCUCCCUCCGGUGCUGUGGCAGCCUCAGGACCCGGUUGGCGCUGGCAGAGCCCCGGGUGCCACCAGGCCCUGCCCUGUGCGGGUCACACCGCGCCUUUGUCCGGCUGUUCCUGGUGCAGGUCACCCUGGCGCAGUCACUCAUGGCCAGGCCGCAGCUGGAGCGUGGACCGCUCGGCGCGGUGUCCCCAGGGAGCCAUCGUGCUCCCCAGCCAUCUGCGGGUCAAUGAGAGACAACCGGCAGCAUCUGGCAGACAUGGUCACAGGAGGUGAAAUCACUCACCAGCGCCAGGGUGGAUGGGGAUCAGGCGGGGCGGCUGCCUUUGGGGCAGCAGGUCAGAGUGCACAAAUCUCACUAAUUUGUGUGACGCAAAUGAAUAAGAUUCAAACCCAGCGGCCGCAGACAAUACAGCAGAGCCAUUGUCUGAGUGCGGGGAGGUUCGCUGGAGCUGCAGGAGCCCAUGCCUUGGUUACAUGUCUUCCAUCAGCGAUACAACAGCGACACGGGAGAUGCAGUCCACAGGUUUAUCCGCAUGUCAGGACGACCUGCUUCCCUGCACACCACGGCUCGGAGAGCUGUUCUCCCAAUGCCCCAAGCUGUCUGCCCUGUGACCUUUUGUGUUUUAUGGUGUUACUCUUCAUGCUGUUUGUGCAACCUGGAGAGCAGAUCUCCCUGCCUGAACAGGGCAGACGCCUUCCUUUCCACUCUCUCUUAAAGACACAUGUGUGCAGUCUUUUUCUUGUUAAAUUGUCACUGUUCUAACGUAGAGUUGCUAAAAAAAUAUAAAGUAAAUAAUCUAUACAUAUUAAUUGAGCAAGCAGUAGUUUUUGACUAAGAAAGCCAGCCUUUAAAGUAAAUAAUUUUAGAUUUUUAGCUCAGCCUGAAGUAUAACCUACACAGGAAAAGAAGAGAUUCCUUUUCUACUGCAGUAAACAGUGCCCUUUAGCGGGCAAAUUACUGCUUAGAAACUUCCUUGAUGAAAAAACUCAUCUAGUUCCCCUGUAUGAGGAGUGUCUAGUUUAAAAAUGUGGAAAAGUUCAGAUAGAGAAAAAAUAGGGCAAGAAAUAAUAAAAUGCUCGAGACAGCCAGAAUAAUUAUUUAUAAUGAGCAAAAUGAUGCCAGUAUAGGCAAUACAACCAAAGGAAGAGAAGCAGUACUCCCUCUUUUGGUUUAUAACCUCCAACUCCACAGUAUGUCUAAUUUGAUGUUUCUUAUUUCCACUCUUAAAAUAUUUUUUAGAAAUAGUAAAUGAGACUCUGGGUUUUGCAGUUCAAUUAUUUUUUUUCUUUAUGCAAAUCAAAAUAUCACUGGUUCAUAAGUACCUCUAGUCUCAGAAUUUUGCUAUUUAUUCAAAAAAACCUCUGACGGUUGUUUUAUCCUUUCAUUUUUUUUUUCUUUCAAUACCAGAAAGGAGGAAGGGACAAUCACAUGUACUGAUACAGUGGUGUGGGUCCUGCAGGAAAGCUAAUUAAACCAGUGUGGAAAAAGAGAACUACACCAAAGUGGCAUGACCUAUACACUGGUAAGGAGAGAUAUACAAACAUACAGAAUUUUAGUUAUAAUCAUCCUGGUCAUAAAUCAAACUGCUUCUGGAAGAUACUCUUAUUGUAAUGAAUUUCCUCAAUAUCUUUUGUUUGACAACAGUCAGAGAUAACAAGUGAUCAGCAAGAAGAAAUACGACACUUGACAUUUUAAAUGCCCUGUUAGUGUUAUUUAUUCUGCUAAAAAAUGCAGUUCUUCAUCCACUAAGUGUUGAAAGGAGGAAGGAAAGAGCAUCUCUCACUGCGUAAAUUCAUGACAAGUGUGUGAUCCUGGGCAUCCUUCAUAUGAAAAGGGAAUAUUUGGUUUCAUAUGGAGAAGCUGACUGCAGUUCAUCAUGGCACUAGGAAGAAACCUGGUGGAGAGACUCCUCGUGAUCACAGCAGACAUAGGAUUCACAAAACAGCAAUCUGGACUACAGGGAACUGUGGUUUUUGGAGACUGGAGGUAGGGUACAGUAAAUGUAACCACAUGGUUAAUUCAUUUACAGAAAAACCUGUGUUGCCAGAACUAAGGAGGCUCCCGUGGCAGCUGGAAAGCAACUGUGGUGUUUUGGAGAGUCACCCACCCAUAUAUAUAUAUAUAUAUAUAUAUAUAUAUAUAUAUAUAUAUAUAUAUAAUGAUAUUUCACAGCAGUUAAAAGAGAAACCUGUGACUUGCAGCACUGAUGGAAAUUUAUGGGGUGCAUGAGGGUGAGAGAGGAAAUGUGGGGUGGCUGGUCGCUACAUCCAUGGCAACGUGAGCUGAACUGACUCUGGCAGAGUUAAUGACAGAAACCAGCUGUUGGCAGGACACCUCUAACAAGCCCCAACUGCUGGAAGAAGGGAGCCAGGCUGCUGAAGCAUCCCCUUUUUCACGAGGGGACAGUGAGAUAUGUUUGCAGUUGGUGGUGAAGAAGAGGAGAGAAAAGAAACAAGCAUGGAAAAUGGAGGAAGUUAAAGUGGAACAGAGAUUUGAGCUGGGGUAUGGCAAACAAAACAAAUGAUACAAAGGAAGGGAGAAAUGAGAGAGCCCUAGAGGGAGAAAAAGUUAGAAACAGAGCAGCAGUUUCAAAGAAAAAUUGUGGUAGCUGCGGGAAGGAAGGGAAGGUCACCAAGUACAGAACACAGUUUCUGUAGUAGUGUGGGAAAUGGGUAGUAGAAAAGAGACCAGGAAUGAAGGAAGGACUAGAACAAGGUGGAGAAACUGAAAAAAAUUCAGGAAAGAUGAGAAGAAAAAAAAAAAAUCCACCCUUGUAAGUGUUUUUUAUUCUAAAUAAAGAAAUGCAGAGGAACUAGAAUAAAGAAAAAGGCAAUUGAAGGAAACUAAAAUAAAGGGAAGAGAGAGGGAAGGUAAAUGGAAUAAGGGAAAGAAAAAAUGGAAAUAUGAAUAAAUAGAAAUAUGAAAAAAUAGAAAACUUGGUAAUCUUUAUUUAGACAAUGUGGGGUUAAUACAAUUAGUUUCUAUAUUUCCCAACAGUCUAAGAAAAAGUGAUACAAUUAUGUAUGUAGGAAAUAGUGUUUCAUCAUGUUAAUUUGUCUUACAUCUCAGCAAAAGGGGCCUCUCUUCUGAAAAAAAAAUCCAUCAAACAAUAGGUGUUGGGGUUUCUUUAUUUCAUAAAUAAAUACAGAGACUGUAAUAGCUGUAAUGUUGAUCUGUCCUCUCUCCCCUUCCUCUCUUUCUCUUUUUCUCAGUUUUGAGUCUAUGCCUCAAGCACUUCAAUUUUGACAUCUUUCAUUCCACCCCCAUAUAUCAAAUUUAAAGUCAGUUUAAAUCCUGGUUUUAAAUGAAAUAUUUUAUAAAAUGUCUUAGUUUUAGUCUUGCGUGGGUUUGGUUCUCUUAAUUAGUACCUCGACUGUGUACUCAGUGGCACUGGCAUAAAUCUGCAUUAUUCCAUUGCACUUCUCAGCAGUCCAAGGGACUGUAAAGCACAGUCAAGACAAAAUAUAUGUUACCAGUAAGGAGGAGAUGGCAGAGAGAUUAAACAUCUUAUUCAGACCCACAAAGUUUGUGAGUGUGAAAGCAAGACCACACUGUGGGCACUGCUGUUUAUUUGAACACUCCAACUGUAUGAAAUACAAACAUAAAAGGACGAAAUAUUUGCAUGAGUUUGGCUGAAAACAAACACUGUUUUGUACAGAUACACAGUGUUUAUAAGGUAUGGUGUCAGUAUCUAAGUCUUUACCUAUAGAGAUUAAGUAAGUAGCAUUUUAUGUUAUUACAAAACAGGCUCUAAAUCUACACUGUUUAACCAGCUUUAUUAUAAACUUGCUCACGUUAAAAUGAUACAUUUUUACCUUCUUGUUCCAUGUAUGCAUUCAAUCCCACUUUUCAUACUGUAGCCAGUUACUCCUUUCCUUGAUAAAUCAACCAUUUUCUAAAGAUAAAGGUAGUCCCUUGCUCUAAUACAAAAUAAUAAUUUCUUUUGUACUUGUGGAAAUCCAAUGGUAAAAUGACAAAGACAUGCUGAAGAAUUGUUUUGUUUGUGUAGCACUUCCAUGUGGAAGAUUCAGAUUACCCGUCUGACUUGUAAACUCUGUUUUUUUAAGAUAGGUUCAAUAUGUCCACUAAAUGUAUGGGAUAAGCCAACAGUGCUUUUCUGACCUGCCCAGUCUUUGCUGUUUGCACUUCAUGAGUCUACUUAUAAAAGUUGUGUCUGAUUGCCUGAGCCUAUCGAGGUUAGAAGCCAUUGGGACACCUUUGGUACAACGGAGUACGGAGGGAACAAACAUUUACUUAUUUUUAUAAAACUGAAAUAUCUUGGACACGCCUAAAAUCUUUUAUUAGAAUGAACACAAACUGCUGUUGCAGACUUUCUACACUCACACCACUACUCCAGUGUCUGCUUCAUGGAAAGAAGACUAAAAAUCCACACUUGGUACUAGACAUAGUACCAAGAACAUAACUCAAAAAUCCUGCCUGCUGUUGGAGUUCAUUUCAUCACUGAAGCACAGAGGGGAAUGGAACUGUUAAGGAAGUGCAAUUACCUUUUAUAUUGAGGCUUUCUGGAUCACAAAUGGCAAGAUGAAGUUAUCAUCACUGACCAGGAGGUGAUUUAUUCAUGGAUAUGGAAGCUGGAGAUAAUUUUAAGAGAACCUUUUAUUUCUUAAAGUAAAUGGAUAAUGUUUGUGAUAUAUAAAAGGUUGACAAAGCUGAAGUUUGCAGUUUGGUCACAAAAAAUUGAAAGAUGAAGACUUAUAAGCCAGGCCUAGAUUCUUAAACAGGUGUUUAUGCACUUAUCUCCCAUUCAAAAGAGCAAGAGGAUUCAGACUUAAGUUUAGAAAUAAUUAGGGCAUAAAGAGAGAUAAUUGUCUGUCUAGGACAGGGGGGAGCACUGAAUGUAGCCUGAGAUACGAAGUUCCAUUAGGAAAAAUUCUGGUUUUGUUUUUUUUUUUUUUUUGCAUAGGCUGCUUUCCUUGGAUAAUUUGCACUGAAGUCAACUACACGUGUAUCCUUCUCAUAGAGGCACUGAUGUGAGGGCAUGUGAUGAGAGUAGGAUUUCAUAAAGUUCUUUAAGGCAUGAAGUGAGCAAAAGGUGAAGAGCACACUGAAAGAAAAAUAGGAGAUAAUAAAAGGAGAAAGGAAGCAAAAAAUUGUCUUUUAGGGAUGAAAUGCUGCAGAGGAUUAAUCUGCAGAGUCCCACAGCUUCAUCUUGGACUCCGCAUUUUACUCAGCAGCAUCCUCAACAUUUACUCUGCCCAUGACAUCCCCUGUGCCAACUUUCUAAAGGCUAUCUGGGAGGACAUUUUGAAGGCAAAAGGAGUAUUAGACUUCUUCAGGGAUUCACUUAAGGACAACUGAAGUACAUGGGAUGAUUUGAAGAUCAAGACUUUAACAGUGUUUUGAGCUUCCAGAGAGAGGACAGUCAAGUGCAUAAACUGCAAAGAGAUGCAUAUGAAGUCUUGAUGGUUUUGCUGAACACUUAUUAAAGGAGACUGGCACUGGCUACAAGAACAGUGACGCUUUCUAAUAAACCCAAAAUUUGUACUAAUUUCA